UACGAAGGGGGCGAGCGUUGUUCGGAAUUACUGGGCGUAAAGGGCGCGUAGGCGGUUUAGCGAGUCAGGCGUGAAAUUCCCGGGCUUAACCUGGGGGCUGCGCUUGAUACUGCUAGGCUUGAAUUCGGGAGAGGAUGGCGGAAUUCCCAGUGUAGAGGUGAAAUUCGUAGAUAUUGGGAAGAACACCGGUGGCGAAGGCGGCCAUCUGGCCCGGGAUUGACGCUGAGGCGCGAAAGCGUGGGGAGCAAACAGGAUUAGAUACCCUGGUAGUCCACGCCGUAAACGAUGAGUGCUAGACGUUGGCGGGCUUGCCCGUCAGUGUCGCAGCUAACGCAUUAAGCACUCCGCCUGGGGAGUACGGCCGCAAGGUUAAA
rnacentral:rRNA from 1 species